UACAGAGGGGGCAAGCGUUAUUCGGAAUUAUUGGGCGUAAAGGGCGCGUAGGCGGCUUGGCAAGUGGAUGGUGAAAUCUCUCGGCUUAACCGAGGAACUGCCGUCCAAACUGCUUGGCUUGAGACCGGGAGAGGUGAGUGGAAUUCCCAGCGUAGCGGUGAAAUGCGUAGAUAUUGGGAGGAACACCAGUGGCGAAGGCGGCUCACUGGCCCGGUACUGACGCUGAGGUGCGAAAGCGUGGGGAGCAAACAGG
rnacentral:rRNA from 1 species